rnacentral:rRNA from 1 species
AGAGUUUGAUCAUGGCUCAGAAUCAACGCUGGCGGCGUGCCUAACACAUGCAAGUCGAACGAGAAAGUGGUAGCAAUACCAUGAGUAAAGUGGCGCACGGGUGAGUAACACGUGACUAACCUACCCUGGAGUGGGGGAUAACUGAGGGAAACCUUAGCUAAUACCGCAUAAUACCUACGGGUCAAAGGAGCAAUUCGCUUCAGGAGGGGGUCGCGGCCGAUUAGUUAGUUGGCGGGGUAAUGGCCCACCAAGACAGUGAUCGGUAUCCGGCCUGAGAGGGCGCACGGACACACUGGAACUGAAACACGGUCCAGACUCCUACGGGAGGCAGCAGUGGGGAAUUUUGCGCAAUGGGGGAAACCCUGACGCAGCAACGCCGCGUGGAGGAUGAAGUCCUUCGGGACGUAAACUCCUUUCGAUCGGGACGAUAAUGACGGUACCGGAAGAAGAAGCCCCGGCUAACUUCGUGCCAGCAGCCGCGGUAAUACGAGGGGGGCGAGCGUUGUUCGGAAUUAUUGGGCGUAAAGGGUGCGUAGGCGGUUUGGUAAGUCUUAUGUGAAAUCUAUGGGCUCAACUCAUAGACUGCAUGAGAAACUGCCGGGCUUGAGUAUGGGAGAGGUGAGUGGAAUUCCUGGUGUAGCGGUGAAAUGCGUAGAUAUCAGGAGGAACACCUGUGGCGAAAGCGGCUCACUGGACCAUAACUGACGCUGAUGCACGAAAGCUAGGGGAGCAAACAGGAUUAGAUACCCUAGUAGUCC